rnacentral:misc_RNA from 1 species
CGCUAUUCGUUCGAUCUGAUCUACGCGCGGCCCGACCAGACCCCGAAGAUGUGGGAAGACGAAUUGAAGCUCGCGGUGUCGGAAGCCGCCGAGCAUCUGUCGCUGUAUCAGCUCACCAUCGAGCCGGAGACGCCGUUCUUCGGCCUGCAUGCCGCCGGCAAGCUCAAGAUUCCCGAUGAAGCAGUUGCGCGCGCGCUUUACGACGUGACGCAGGAUGUUUGCGCCAAACU